rnacentral:rRNA from 1 species
CGCCUAACACAUGCAAGUCGAACGGAGUAGCAAUACUUAGUGGCAGACGGGUGAGUAACAUGUGGGUAUCUACCCUUUGGCCUGGAAUAACACGAGGAAACUUGUGCUAAUACCGGAUAAGUCUUUACGGAGAAAGCUUUAUGCACCAUUGGAUGAGCCUGCACUUGAUUAGUUUGUUGGUGGGGUAAUGGCCUACCAAGACUUUGAUCAAUAGCUGAUUUGAGAGGAUGAUCAGCCACAUUGGGACUGAGACACGGCCCAAACUCCUACGGGAGGCAGCAGUGGGGAAUCUUGCACAAUGGAGGAAACUCUGAUGCAGCGAUGCCGCGUGAGUGAAGAAGGCCUUUGGGUUGUAAAGCUCUUUCGUCGGGGAAGAAAAUGACUGUACCCGAAUAAGAAGGUCCGGCUAACUUCGUGCCAGCAGCCGCGGUAAUACGAAGGGACCUAGCGUAGUUCGGAAUUACUGGGCUUAAAGAGUUCGUAGGUGGUUGAAAAAGUUGGUGGUGAAAUCCCAGAGCUUAACUCUGGAACUGCCAUCAAAACUUUUCAGCUAGAGUUUGAUAGAGGAAAGCAGAAUUUCUAGUGUAGAGGUGAAAUUCGUAGAUAUUAGAAAGAAUACCAAUUGCGAAGGCAGCUUUCUGGAUCAUUACUGACACUGAGGAACGAAAGCAUGGGUAGCGAAGAGGAUUAGAUACCCUCGUAGUCCAUGCCGUAAACGAUGUGUGUUAGACGUUGGAAAUUUAUUUUCAGUGUCGCAGCGAAAGCAAUAAACACACCGCCUGGGGAGUACGACC